rnacentral:tRNA from 1 species
GGUCCCAUCGUCUAGCGGUUAGGAUACCGGCCUCUCACGCCGGAGACACGGGUUCGAUCCCCGUUGGGACUACCA